rnacentral:rRNA from 1 species
AACGAGCGAGAGAGAGCUUGCUUUCUCGAGCGAGUGGCGAACGGGUGAGUAACGCGUGAGGAACCUGCCUCAAAGAGGGGGACAACAGUUGGAAACGACUGCUAAUACCGCAUAAGCCCACGGGUCGGCAUCGACCAGAGGGAAAAGGAGCAAUCCGCUUUGAGAUGGCCUCGCGUCCGAUUAGCUAGUUGGUGAGGUAACGGCCCACCAAGGCAACGAUCGGUAGCCGGACUGAGAGGUUGAACGGCCACAUUGGGACUGAGACACGGCCCAGACUCCUACGGGAGGCAGCAGUGGGGAAUAUUGCACAAUGGGGGAAACCCUGAUGCAGCGACGCCGCGUGGAGGAAGAAGGUCUUCGGAUUGUAAACUCCUGUUGUUGGGGAAGAUAAUGACGGUACCCAACAAGGAAGUGACGGCUAACUACGUGCCAGCAGCCGCGGUAAAACGUAGGUCACAAGCGUUGUCCGGAAUUACUGGGUGUAAAGGGAGCGCAGGCGGGAAGACAAGUUGGAAGUGAAAUCUAUGGGCUCAACCCAUAAACUGCUUUCAAAACUGUUUUUCUUGAGUAGUGCAGAGGUAGGCGGAAUUCCCGGUGUA